rnacentral:rRNA from 1 species
GACGAACGCUGGCGGCGUGCUUAACACAUGCAAGUCGAACGAGUGGCGAACGGGUGAGUAACACGUGGGUGAUCUGCCUUGCACUUCGGGAUAAGCUUGGGAAACUGGGUCUAAUACCGGAUAGUGCAAGAUGAGCUCGCGGCCUAUCAGCUAGUUGGUGGGGUAAAGGCUACCAAGGCGCGAUCAGUAGCGGGUCUGAGAGGAUGAUCCGCCACACUGGGACUGAGACACGGCCCAGACUCCUACGGGAGGCAGCAGUGGGGAAUUUUGGACAAUGGGCGCAAGCCUGAUCCAGCCAUGCCGCGUGUCUGAAGAAGGCCUUCGGGUUGUAAAGGACUUUUGUUAGGGAGACGGUACCUAAAGAAUAAGCACCGGCUAACUACGUGCCAGCAGCCGCGGUAAUAC